rnacentral:rRNA from 1 species
AGACGUGGCGGAGGCCUAACACAUGCAAGUCGAGCGCGCCCUUCGGGGUGAGCGGCGGACGGGUUAGUAACGCGUGGGAACGUGCCCUUUGGUACGGAAUAGCCUCUGGAAACGGAGAGUAAUACCGUAUGAGCCCUUCGGGGGAAAGAUUUAUCGCCAAAGGAUCGGCCCGCGUUAGAUUAGGUAGUUGGUGGGGUAAUGGCCUACCAAGCCUACGAUCUAUAGCUGGUUUUAGAGGAUGAUCAGCAACACUGGGACUGAGACACGGCCCAGACUCCUACGGGAGGCAGCAGUGGGGAAUCUUGGACAAUGGGGGCAACCCUGAUCCAGCCAUGCCGCGUGAGUGAUGAAGGCCUUAGGGUCGUAAAGCUCUUUCGCCUGUGAAGAUAAUGACGGUAGCAGGUAAAGAAACCCCGGCUAACUCCGUGCCAGCAGCCGCGGUAAUACGGAGGGGGUUAGCGUUGUUCGGAAUUACUGGGCGUAAAGCGCACGUAGGCGGACCAAAAAGUUGGGGGUGAAAUCCCGGGGCUCAACCCCGGAACCGCCUCCAAAACUGUUGGUCUAGAGUUCGAGAGAGGUGAGUGGAAUUCCGAGUGUAGAGGUGAAAUUCGUAGAUAUUCGGAGGAACACCAGUGGCGAAGGCGGCUCACUGGCUCGAUACUGACGCUGAGGUGCGAAAGUGUGGGGAGCAAACAGGAUUAUAUACCCUGUAGUCCACACCGUAGACGAUGAAUGCCAGUCGUCGGGUAGCAUGCUAUUCGGUGACGCACCUAACGGAUUAGGCGUUCCGCCUGGGGAGUACAGUCACAGGAUUAAAACUUCACAUGAUUUGACGG